rnacentral:rRNA from 1 species
GAGGCAUCCAAAGGCUGUCGCUGACCUUUGACACAAAGGUCGUGCACGCCAGAGGGUGUCCUCUCGCAUAAAAUCCAUCUCACCCUUUUGUGCACCACCGCGCGGGCACCCUCUGGGAUCGAACCGAUCCAGGAGGGGGCUUGCGUUUUCACACAAACCCCUUUUUAAAAGUGUAGAAUGACCCCAUUUUUGCGAUAACACGCAAUCAAUACAACUUUCAACAACGGAUCUCUUGGCUCUCGCAUCGAUGAAGAACGCAGCGAAAUGCGAUACGUAAUGUGAAUUGCAGAAUUCAGUGAAUCAUCGAAUCUUUGAACGCACCUUGCGCCCCUUGGUAUUCCGAGGGGCACACCCGUUUGAGUGUCGUGAAAAUCUCAACCUUCUCGGUUUCUUCUGGACACCGAAGGAGGCUUGGACUUUGGAGGCUUUUGCUGGCAUAUCUCCCAGCUCCUCUCAAAUGAAUUAGCGGGGUCCUCUUUGCCGAUCCUCGACAUGUGAUAAGAUGUUUCCGUGUCUUGGUUUAUGGCUCUGUUGCUUUUGGGACCCGCUUCUAGCCGUCUCGUCGAGACAACGUUUGAGCGUGUCUCCCUUCUCGGGAAACGCUCUCAGACCCACGAACCCUUGA